rnacentral:lncRNA from 1 species
GACAGUUUGCAGUAGCUCUAGCCCUAAGACAGACACAUGUGCAGGACACAGCCACGGUAAAGGCUGCAGCCACUGGCCACAAGAGUAGGCCUCUACCUGCCAUCAUGUUUGUGGACUGAUACCACUUUCACCCCGUGAUUGACACCUCCAUCCCAUCAUUGAUACCUCCACCCCAUGAUUGACACCUCCAUCCUGUGAUUGAAACCUCCAUCCCAUGAUUGAUACAUCCAUCCAUUGAUUGACACCUCCAUCCUGUGAUUGACACCCCCAUCUCGUGACUGAGUAAAAUAGUGUCAUCUGGAUUAAAUGUCCACCAUCAGGACUAUUUGCUUUCAAGUCUAUAAUAAGAAAAUAGGUCUACAUGGUGGUGGUGCACGCCUUCAAUCUCAGCACUCAGGAGCAGAGGCAGGUGAAUCUCUGAGUUCGAAGCUAGAGCAAGUUCCAGGACAGCCAGAGCUGCACAGAGAAACACUGUCUUGGGGAGAAAAAAAAAAGGAUCUAGCAACGUUGUUUUUUGGCUAGAGUCUUGAACAAAGGAAGGUCUGAAUGAGGAGAGUUUAGUCUACUGUGUGCACCGAGUCAUCAGGGAGACAAAAAUAAAUCCACUGGAGAGGAAGAAAAGCAAUUAAAACAGUCCUUCUCAACAAAGAAGAGGAAAGUAUGUAUUUACUAUGAAACUUUGGGGUUACAAGAUGGCUCGGCAGGUAAAACUGCUUGCUUCCCACGCUUGGUAUGAAUCAAGUCCCUAAAACCAUAGUGGGAGCUGACUCCAUUUAUGCUCUGAAGACUAGGCUGGCCUUGAACUCAGAGAUCUGCCUGCCUCUGUCUCCUGUGCUAGACUAAAGGCAUGUGCCACCACCGCCUGGCCCAUUGCACAGUGCUUAAGGACAUGCUCCAAGGGGUCCUCCUGAAGGACAGACUUUCUUCAAUAACGUCCACACCUUAAUGUCUGUAUCACUUUUCAGGAAUGCCAUCAAAAUUUGAAGGCACCAAUGGGUUGCUUCCACUGCUAGCUACACUGAGGAUCAAGCUUUCAGUGCAGGAGCCUUUGGGGGACACUCACAUCUACCCAAAACAUAAGAGCGGGUAAGAAGAUUGGGCUCAAUAUGUGUCACAGUGGCCCAGUCUUGGCACCCAAUCUCACAAGACUAUUUCCUCAUCUGUAAAAUCAGAUUGGAAACAGCAACUAUUUCUCACAGUUUUCCAAAAAGCUAGAGCCAGUAGUAUGUGUGCAGAGUAGACCAGGAGGCAGAAGACUCAGAAAACAGUUCUGUCUGGUCUAAAAACAGGCUGCUUGCUGAGUUCCUUGCUCUUGGGGGAUGAGUCUUUGCUCUUAUUCGGCCCUCAGCUGAUUAGACAAGGCUACCCCCAGUCCUGGGUUGUAUACUUCUUUACUCUGUCUAGAGGUAUACAUUUUAAUGUCAUCUGACAUCCUGAAUGUUAGACCAAAUAUCUAAGCAUUCUACUCAGCCAAGUUGACAUAUAAAAUUAAUCAUCACAGCUGGUCCCAGGGACAGGCUUGGAGAUCUAACUAGUCAGGAAAUAAUAGAAGUCCUCUACGUUCUGAAAGCUUCUCUCCCACAAUGAGGGACUCUGUGGGCUGUGUUUGUACCCCACGGCAAGAGUACUGGUACACUGGGAGCUCAGCAGCCCCUGGAUGGAUCCUUGUUCUUUCUUCUGUCUGUCUAAGCUGACACUCUCCCUCCUAGUCACCCCCAGGUGCACCCCAGCCAGUCCUCAGGUGAGGGGGUCGGGAGAGGCCCUGGAGUUGCCUGAUACUAGAUACUUCCUUCCUGCCGGAUUAAGGAAGUAUUGUCAGCAUCGAGUCUGUGUUUACCAAAUUAACAAAUGGACUUCAAGUCAAACACUAGGCGAUUUGUGAGAUGGAUUUCUCAACAACGUGCCAACUGAGGGGGUCGCUCCCAGGUGCCGGGCUGUUUGCCGCUUCUUGGACUACUGGACUUUGACAUCAUGUCACUUUAAGGUGCUCUUCGUGGAAA